GGGUCCUUGGACAGGAAGAGUCCUUGUUCUUCCGGGUGCCCACACUCUCUGAGGCCGCAGUUCCACUUGGGACACAGCCAGCUCUGGAGCAGCCAGUGGGGAGAGGGCAGAAGGGUUUUUUGGUGUCUUCUAUUGAAAGUACUUCAAAGCCGUGAAGGAACCAACAUUCAUGCACCUGAGUUCGGAGGCGGUGGCUGUGGGCCACUUCACCCACUUCCCUCCUUCUGGGAAGAAGGAAGGGUGUGAAAGCAACCUGGAGGUGGGAGAGGAUGCUGUGCACCCCUUGCUGAUCACCCGAACCCCAGGGGUUGGUCCUGGGUCCAGGGAUUUCCCGGGUAUCUCUCCGGGCUCUGGACAGGGACCCAGACACGGCCUGCAGAGCAGCUAUGGCUGAGUGGGGCAGAGAGGUCCCAUCCUGGUGGUCUGGGGACCCGGCCUCACCCUCUCAUUCUCCCUUUGCUUGCUGUUUCCAGGGCCACGGGGGUUCCGUGGCUGUUCUUAUGGGGUUCACAUGGCUGCAUGUGAAGAGGCCGCCCCAAACCACCAAGGGUGUCAGAGCUCAGCCCAGUGGCCUGGAGCACGUCUGGGCAGUGGUGUCAGAGCCCCACACCACUCCCCAUCUCUGGGUACCUCCUCUUGACCUGACCUUGGAUCAUUUCUCCUUAAUGCCUAGGGUUCUGGAUUUUUUAUUUCCCCAGGGCUGGGGAUCGAACAUAGGCCUUGCACACCCAUGAGACAAGCACUCUCCCACUGAGCUCCACCCCGCCUCGGGGGCCUCUGGACUCUUAACCAGCUUAGCCUCCCUCCUCUGAUCCCAGCACGGAAGUAAACAAAGACCAUCCAACCAACAAGGACUCUCGCUCAGGAGUGAUGCCAUGGCAGGACGGGGAGAGCUUCAGAGUGGACAGGAGACCAUUUCCGGUGUGCCUGGCAGGAGGCUUCCAGCCUAGGGAUCAGGAGGCAGCUACCUGGACGCGGGACACCCCAUUUAAUUGGCCAGAGGAACAUAUUUGGCUUUUGCUUGGAAAAGAGGAUAAGUUGGAAACAGGCUGGUUUUGAACUUCUGGCUUCAGGAGAUCCUCUUGCCUCAGCCUCCUUGAAUAGCUGGCACUACAAGUAUGUUCCACCGUACCCAGCUUGCAUCAGUAGUUGAAGGUUUUGGUGAUUAUGACUAGAGCUGCCAUAGAUAUUUGUG
rnacentral:lncRNA from 1 species